UACGGAGGGUGCGAGCGUUGUCCGGAAUCACUGGGCGUAAAGGGCGCGUAGGCGGCGCGACAAGGCGGCGGUGAAAGUCCGGGGCUCAACCCCGGAUCGGCCGUGGCGACUGUCGCGCUCGAGCACAGUAGAGGCGGGUGGAAUUCCGGGUGUAGCGGUGGAAUGCGUAGAGAUCCGGAAGAACACCGGUGGCGAAGGCGGCCCGCUGGGCUGUGGCUGACGCUGAGGCGCGACAGCGUGGGGAGCAAACGGG
rnacentral:rRNA from 1 species